rnacentral:rRNA from 1 species
GACGAACGCUGGCGGCGUGCUUAACACAUGCAAGUCGAACGGAAAGGCCCCUCUUGCGUUAGGUGAUUGGCGGACGAGUGCGUAACACGUACGUAACCUUCCCUUGACUUCGUUAUAACUUCCGUAAACUAGGGCUAAUUCCUGCUAGAAAUCCUUGCUGCAUGGUGGGGGUUGGUCAGAUUCUGCGGUCUUGGAUGGACUCGCGGCUUAUCAGCUUGUUGGUGGGGUAGUGGCUUGCCGAGGCGUUGAUGGGUAGCUGGCCCGAGAGGGCGAACGGCCACCUUGGGACCGAGGGAAGGCCCAGGCUGCUAAGGGGGGCAACAGGGGGGAAGAUUGCACCAUGGGCGGCAGGCCGGUGCAGAAACGCCGCGGGCGGGAAGACCGGCUUCGGGGUGUAAAACGGCUUCAGCAGGGGAGAAGGUUGUGGUGACGGUACCUGCAGAAGAAGCACCGGCUAACUACGUG